rnacentral:tRNA from 1 species
AGCAUUGUACUUUAAACAAAAGGUUUGAGUUGCAGUCAAAAAUUGAGCAAAUGCUUCUAUGCUA